GUCCUCCACUCUCCUCUCAAGUCCAGUGAGUAUCUUUAUGAUCAUUACUUUAAUUAUCUAUUAGGCAUAUUACUUGUCUCUUUUUUGUUUACUUCUUUUCC